UAGUUUAAAGUAAAACGAGAAAAAGAAACGUUGGUGUAGUAGUGCUCCAAUAAGAAGUUAUGGCCACACAGGACAGCAUCUAAUUUGCGUGGUCCAAAUUGAUCUCGUCGUUUCGUGGUGAAUUUGCGCGAUCAUGCGUAACGACCGUCAACCGGAUCGAACCGCUGACGUCGUCUCUGCGAAGGGCGUAAACAACUCGGCAAGAGAGGCUAAGUAAGUAAGAUCGAGACAAGAUCAAGAGACAUUCUUAAGAACCGGAGCGAGAAGGAUUAGAUCUUCUGCACCGAACAGAAAAUAGGCUUGCAGUGAAGUGAACGCAGUUUAGAAGCUGUUCUGCGACCGAAAAAAAUAAGUUGGCAAGCGUUAGAAGUAGACUAAGCCGGUAAUUCGGGAAGGAAAGAAUGUUAGAACACAUCGGUGGUGGAUCUAUUAUAAAAGCCGUCUGGACCCUCGUAUUUUUCAAGAAGCCUCGAAAUGGAUUUUAUAAUCAGCAAAUUAAUAUUCAUAGUAUAAUUAACUUCGAACAGACUAAAAAUACGGAUGAUCAACAGAGUUAAGAAACCAGCAAUAUAAAAGGAUCUUUCCGUUUAAGGGUUAAAUAUUUGUUCACCAACUCGUAAUAGCUGGUAAGAGAGACACGGCGUAGAACGGACGAACGCAUAGAACGGGCUAGACCGGGUCAGGGGGAAAUGAUGUAGCUCUAUCGCACGUAUAGGGGGCGUGAACACGUGGAAUGAGACGUCGUUUGGAACUUGUUUCGAUUGGAACGAAACAAAACGAAAAAAACGACGGCGAGCGUCGAGACGGCAUAGGCUGCGUGCGCAAGAAAUACGUAGAUAGAGGAGUCACUUAUGGAGGAAAUAGAAGAAAGUAACAUUGGAUGCUGUAUGGAUCGAUUGGUUCUAACGACUGACCGCCCAACGAAGUGUUUUAAGAUACAAUUCGAUUCGUCGUGGUAUCGACCGAAGAAACAAUACAUCAGCAUCAAAGCAUCUUGAGCAAAAGUGCGUUGGGUAUGAGCGGAAGCAUUAGGGGUAUAUGGAGGUGAG